rnacentral:rRNA from 1 species
UACGGGGGGGGCAAGCGUUGUUCGGAAUUACUGGGCGUAAAGGGCUCGUAGGCGGCCAAUUAAGUCAGACGUGAAAUCCCCAGGCUCAACCUGGGAACUGCGUCUGAUACUGGAUGGCUUGAAUCCGGGAGAGGGAUGCAGAAUUCCAGGUGUAGCGGUGAAAUGCGUAGAUAUCUGGAGGAAUACCGGUGGCGAAGGCGGCAUCCUGGACCGGCAUUGACGCUGAGGAGCGAAAGCUAGGGGAGCAAACGGG